GACGAACGCUGGCGGCGUGCUUAACACAUGCAAGUCGAACGGUAAGGCCCUUCGGGGUACACGAGUGGCGAACGGGUGAGUAACACGUGGGUGAUCUGCCCUGCACUCCGGGAUAAGCCUGGGAAACUGGGUCUAAUACCGGAUAGGACUCCUGGCUUCAUGGUUGGGGGUGGAAAGCUUUUGCGGUGUGGGAUGGGACCGCGGCCUAUCAGCUUGUUGGUGGGGUAAUGGCCUACCAAGGCGACGACGGGUAGCCGGCCUGAGAGGGUGACCGGUCACACUGGGACUGAGAUACGGCCCAGACUCCUACGGGAGGCAGCAGUGGGGAAUAUUGCACAAUGGGCGCAAGCCUGAUGCAGCGACGCCGCGUGAGGGAUGACGGCCUUCGGGUUGUAAACCUCUUUCAGCUAUGACGAAGCGCAAGUGACGGUAGUAGCAGAAGAAGGACCGGCCAACUACGUGCCAGCAGCCGCAGUAACAC
rnacentral:rRNA from 1 species